CCUCUGAUAGCUCAGUUGGCAGAGCACAAGACUCUUAAUCUCAGGGUCAUGGGUUCAAGGGCGAAAGAAUCCUGAAUUGCAGGGGG